AUUGAACGCUGGCGGCAGGCCUAACACAUGCAAGUCGAGCGGAUGAAGGGAGCUUGCUCCUGGAUUCAGCGGCGGACGGGUGAGUAAUGCCUAGGAAUCUGCCUGGUAGUGGGGGAUAACGUCCGGAAACGGGCGCUAAUACCGCAUACGUCCUGAGGGAGAAAGUGGGGGAUCUUCGGACCUCACGCUAUCAGAUGAGCCUAGGUCGGAUUAGCUAGUUGGUGGGGUAAAGGCCUACCAAGGCGACGAUCCGUAACUGGUCUGAGAGGAUGAUCAGUCACACUGGAACUGAGACACGGUCCAGACUCCUAAGGGGGGCAGCAGUGGGGAAUAUUGGACAAUGGGCGAAAGCCUGAUCCAGCCAUGCCGCGUGUGUGAAGAAGGUCUUCGGAUUGUAAAGCACUUUAAGUUGGGAGGAAGGGAAGUAAGUUAAUACCUUGCUGUUUUGACGUUACCAACAGAAUAAGCACCGGCUAACUUCGUG
rnacentral:rRNA from 1 species